rnacentral:rRNA from 1 species
AUGCAAGUCGAACGCAGUAGCAAUACUGAGUGGCAAACGGGUGAGUAUAAUGUGGGAAUCUGCCUUUUGGUUCGGAAUAACACGAGGAAACUUGUGCUAAUACCGGAUAAGCCCUUACGGGGAAAGUUUUAAUGCCAAAAGAUGAGCCCGCACUUGAUUAGCUAGUUGGUAAGGUAAUGGCUUACCAAGGCAACGAUCAAUAGCUGUUCUUAGAGGAAGACCAGCCACAUUGGGACUGAGACACGGCCCAAACUCCUACGGGAGGCAGCAGUGGGGAAUCUUGCACAAUGGGGGAAACCCUGAUGCAGCGAUGCCGCGUGAGUGAAGAAGGCCCUUGGGUUGUAAAACUCUUUCGUCGGGGAAGAAAAUGACUGUACCCGAAUAAGAAGGUCCGGCUAACUUCGUGCCAGCAGCCGCGGUAAUACGAAGGGACCUAGCGU